rnacentral:rRNA from 1 species
CCUACGGGGGGCUGCAGUGGGGAAUAUUGGACAGUGGGCGAAAGCCUGAUCCAGCCAUGCCGCGUGUGUGAAGAAGGCCUUCGGGUUGUAAAGCACUUUCAGUGGGGAAGAAAGCCUUGGGGCUAAUACCCUCGAGGAAGGACAUCACCCACAGAAGAAGCACCGGCUAACUCCGUGCCAGCAGCCGCGGUAAUACGGAGGGUGCGAGCGUUAAUCGGAAUUACUGGGCGUAAAGCGCGCGUAGGCGGUCUGAUAAGCCGGUUGUGAAAGCCCCGGGCUCAACCUGGGAACGGCAUCCGGAACUGUCAGGCUAGAGUGCAGGAGAGGAAGGUAGAAUUCCCGGUGUAGCGGUGAAAUGCGUAGAGAUCGGGAGGAAUACCAGUGGCGAAGGCGGCCUUCUGGACUGACACUGACGCUGAGGUGCGAAAGCGUGGGUAGCAAACAGGAUUAGAUACCCUAGUAGUC